UGAACGCUGGCGGCGUAGCUUAACACAUGCAAGUCGAACGGAGUUUAGAUGAAACCUAGUGAUUCUAAACUAGUGGCGGACGGGUGAGUAACGCGUGGGUAACCUGCCCUAUACAGGGGGAUAACAGUUGGAAACGACUGCUAACACCGCAUAACAUCGCGAGAGCGCAUGAUCUUGCGAUCAAAGUAUUUAUAGGUAUAGGAUGGGCCCCGCGUCUGGAUUUAGCUGGUUGGUGAGGUAACGGCCCACCAAGGCGACGAUCAGUAGCCGUACUGAGAGGUAGAACGGCCACAUUGGGACUGAGACACGGCCCAAACUCCUACGGGAGGCAGCAGUGGGGAAUAUUGGUCAAUGGGGGAAACCCUGAACCAGCCGACGCCGCGUGAGUGAAGAAGUAUUUCGGUAUGUAAAGCUCUAUCAGCAGGGACGAUGAUGACGGUACCUGACUAAGAAGCCCCGGCUAACUACGUGCCAGCCGCCGC
rnacentral:rRNA from 1 species